rnacentral:rRNA from 1 species
AUACAGAGGGUGCGAGCGUUAAUCGGAAUUACUGGGCGUAAAGCGCGCGGAGGCGGUUAGAUAAGUCUGAUGUGAAAGCCCUGGGCUUAACCUGGGAAUGGCAUUGGAUACGGUUUGACUAGAGUGCGGGAGAGGAGAGUGGAAUUCUCGGUGUAGCGGUGAAAUGCGUAGAGAUCGGGAGGAACACCAGUGGCGAAGGCGGCUCUCUGGACUGACACUGACGCUGAGGUGCGAAAGCGCGGGUAGCAAACAGGAUUAGAAACCCCGGUAGUCC